GAGCAUUCUCUUAGGCUCCAGUGCUCAUAUACGAAAAUUGGAACGAUACAGAGAUUAGCACGGCCCCUGCACAAGGAUGACACGCAAAUAAAUAAAUGAAAAUGCAUUUCC
ensembl:snRNA U6 U6 spliceosomal RNA